UUUUGAGAACCUGCAUCCGGCAGCCUUAUCACUUUGAAGGGAAGUCACAAUCACUAAUGGAAUCUGCUAGCUUUUCACACACUGAAAUUAGCUUUGAUUCUUCCCCCAAACAUAUGUUGAAAAGCAACAUGCGCAUACACUACACUGACCCAUCAAAGCAACAAUCAGGGCUGUGGAGGAAGUUUGUGGACUCACCUGCUGGGGUUGGGAGAGAGAAAUAUAUUUCUUUCAGGAGUGGAAACAAUUUCUGAGCCCUCUUCUGGCCCCAGAGAAUGGAGAGCCUCCUCCUUCCCUUCCUAUGGAGAAAGAGAAAGUAAAUGCCAUUUUCCUUUGCAACUGUGAAUAAUAACAUUUAUGCUCUGAGAUCGGGUUUGCUUCUUUAAUAUGAAAAACGAUAUCCUGUUUGGAUGAGACAUUUCCUUGAAUGCUUAGCAUAAAUUGAGCCCUUAAGCUUUUAACAAGAAAUUCUGGACUGUCUUGCCUGAAAACUCAGAGUGGAUCUUGGAAACACUGCAGGUUUCUUGAUUUGUGAAAACUAGCCUCUUCCAUGAGAUUACUAACAGCCCUCUGCGUUUGAUAUUCAGGAGAAGCCAUCUGAAAUAAUCCUUGUUUGGUUAUCUUUUUUUUCUCUCUCUGUCUUUGUCUCAUUGUCUCUUUCUGAGUCUAGUGUUCUCUCAUCCCUUUCUGUCUUUCUCUCUCUUCCUACUUUCUCUGUCUNNNNNNNNNNNNNNCAUACACUUCUUUUCUUCCCCCCGCCCCUGAUUUUUUUUUUUUAAAUCACACUUUCAAAUAACACGGACCCAGUGAAGGUAUUACAAAGCUGAGAGGUAAGUAUGCGGGAGCAGGAACUGCAUUUUUCGUCACUCACAGUGACAAUUAAAAUGACAACAACAAGGCCAGGCUCUUCCAUCAUUGUUUUUUAAUGCUGUCAGCACCAACUUUGCCAGAAUUAUCCUGUCUGAUGCAUGAGUGGACUUUGUCAUUUUUCACAUUGUGCCACCCAGAGCCAGAAUAUCAUUUAAGAGAGUAAAUUAGCUUCCAUCUCAUUUAAAGGAGCCCUGUAAAAACCCUUCUCAGCAACAUGCUUCCCUAGCCAGAGAAGGUUAAUUUGGUGGGCUGGGAGGUGUUUUUGGAUGUAAAAUCUCUGUCUCUUUGUGGCAUGGAUGAUGGUUUG
rnacentral:lncRNA from 1 species